rnacentral:tmRNA from 1 species
UGUAUUGGAUGAUAUCCAGAAUAAGAUAGACAGUUGGCUAUUCUCAUCAUAUUCACAAUCUUGGUAUACUUCUGGCAAAUCACAGAAUACUGGUAAGAAUAUUGUCAUCUUGGCCCAAUGGACGCACCCGUGGAGAAUAGGGCGUUUGCCUAUGUCAGGACUGGUGCUAAUUUGACUUCUCAGAUUAAAGAAUCUGCAGCAGAGGGACUUUUUAAAAGUUUUCACCUGCUGGUGGGUAAAAAUGUUAGGGAAAACAGUGUCAGAUUUGAGGCGCUCCUGGGAGUCUAUACCAACGCUAUAGAAUUUGUCAAAUUUCUAGAGACCUCCUUGGCUAUCGCCUGUCUCAAUACUGAAUUCAAGGAUCUCAGGAGAAUGGUAGAGGGAAAAAUCCAAUUCAAGGUCUCAGUGCCCACUAUAGCGCACGGUGAUGGAAGAAGACCAAGUAAACAAAGACAGUACCUUGUUAUGAAAUCUGCCCACAAACAUCACAUAAGUGCAGAAAUUGAGUUGUCCACAGAAGAUAUAGAACUUCUUUUUGCAGAAAAGGAAACCCAACUUGACGUCGCAGAAUAUGUGGGCGCCGUGAAGACUAUAACGUCAGCUCUCCAGUUUGGUAUAGAUGCCCUCGAGCGAGGCCUUAUUAAUGUGGUGCUCACGUCCAAAUUAAGACAGGCACCGCCCACCUUUAUUCUCCAAUCAAUUAAUGACCCUAGUGCUGCGCAGCGAGGGUUUGGUAAAGCUGCCAAGUCAGAUAUUGUGGCUAAUUUUAAAAAGCAUCUACUAGAGCACACCUUCUUCUUGGAUGAUGGACUUAGAAGCCAGAGGGGUAGGGAUUAUGUCCUGGCAGUGCUGUCAGACGCAGUGACUGCGGUCAACAGCGAGUCUGUGUUUAAAGGAGCAGACUUUUACACCACGGAGGGCGGGGAACCUGUCAGCGGCGUCUUUGAAACAACUGAUGGGACCAUGCAAAAACUUUUGAACCUGGUUGGUCAGGCAACCUCGUCCAUUAUGGCCCCUGCUGCCUAUGCAAAUUAUGUUAUCAGGGGAGGGAAUGUUGUGACUGCUAUGAGUUAUGGAAAAGUCAUGAAGAAUUUUGACAGCUUCUUGUCCAGAAUGAUUGAGAAUGGGACAAACAAGUCAGUGACUGAAAAUGACUUUUAUACUGAAAAUGGCGACACUGAUAUGGAUGUCUCCAAAACCACAAUACCUGCGGCUACCAUUAGAAUAGGGGAAAAGGUUUUUGCCAUUGAGAGCCUUCAGAGGAUGUAUAGAGAGACUCAGCAGGCUUAUCCCCUGAUAAGGACCAUGCAAUACGCCUAUUACUUUCCAGUGGGUCUCUACCUUCCAGAUCCAAAAUAUACUACAUCAGGAACUCUGAGAGGCCUGGAGGGAGGAUCGCCUCCUUUGGAAGCAUGGGUUGUCAAUAAGAACAAUCUCAUACAGUGUUUCACAUUUGAUAAUGCUCUAAAGAUGCUAUGCCAUCCAAGAUUUCACAACCCACAAUUGUGUAUUCAGAACUUGCCUGGAGAGGAGUUCCAGCAUGAUCACAUUCUUGGUUAUGGCAUACAGUCUCGUCAGAUUGGACAUAUGAAUCUAUAUAGAAUGAUGUAUGGGUACUAUGAUGGUAAAGCUGUUGCUCAUAUCCCAGACGUGGUGGCCAAGUCCGAGCUCUCCACCAGCGAGUUGCUGAGCCCACCCAUGGCCCAUCUAUUGAGAUUGGAGCUUCAUCCCCUGUUUGAUUUUUACAAGAUUAGGGGCGCCAAUGGUGCCAUUGAAUGUCGGGCCGUUCACAGAACACACGUUGGCAAUAUCCCAGAAGCAUUUGCCCCACCCAAGUUUCAAGAAGGGCGCGGCCAGCAGCUUGAGUCAGCCGCUGGGCUCUCACAUGUGAUUGAUCAACAAACUAUGGAAUUGAUCCAAGAGACAGCGUUUGAUGCCAACUACCCUCCAAUGUGUUAUGUUAUAGAAGCCAUGAUUCAUGGUCAGGAAGAUAAAUUUAUAAUGACCUCUUCUAUUGUGGCACUAACCAUAACUACAUACUGGAAUAAUACCGGACACUUGGCCUUUGUGAAUAGUUACUUUAUGAUCAAGUACAUCUGUAAACAUUUUGCCAAUGGCCUCAUACCCAGGGAAAUCUAUCUGAUCUAUAAGAAAAUUAUGGCAGAACUUAUUACCAUGGAACAGACUCUACUCAAGAUCUGCGGACAUGAGAAGGUGGCAAAUGUGUCUGUGGGGCAGUAUUUUAACAGCAUUAUGGAUCCUGCCCUCCUACCUCCCUUCAUUAAUGAUGAUAUCCUCUCAAAGGCCCUUAAAAACAAACAAAGAAAAGUAUCAUUUUACAUUGGAGACGAAUUAUAUGAUAACCAAGAAAGAAGGGAUGUCUACAUAAAGGAAAUAGAUACCCUAGAGAACUCUUAUGCUGCCUUUGAUGAUAUCUACACAGAUAUGCAUGAUGCAGACCAUGAAAACAGGAAGGUUCUAUUGUUGGGACCAGAGCCAGCGGGGGACCUGAUCCUUGAAAAAUUGUUUUACUAUGUGUUUCUGCCUGUUUGCACUAAUGGGCACGUGUGUGGCAUGGGCGUUGAUUAUGGUCAUGUUAUACAGACCCUGGGCUUUAAUGGCCCUGUCUGUUUGCCCAAUGUAAAUGGGGGGGAUGAUCUGUACCAACAUCUGGCUAAUGGACCUCUGAAAGAUCUCCUUUUGGCCAGCGACCUUAAACCUACAGUGGGGAUGAUCAGACUCCUAGUGGCCUGUUCUUUGACCACUCCAGCAGUGACUCAGAUUGUUAGGGUGGAGGCGGAGAGGGACUCUGCGCAACAGCUAGCCACCCACGAGAGUGGAACUAAAGUCAGACACAGUGUGCUGGUAAAUGGUAUAGCCGCCUUUGUGGUGGCAGAUAGGAACAAACAUGUGAUAGAGACAAUGUUCUAUCCUGUGCCUUUUCAUAAGUUUUAUGCUGAUCCAGUGGUUGCUGCAACCCUUCAUCCACUUGUUAAUAACUAUCUUAAUAAUAUUCCAUCUCAAAGAAAUGGAAUCUGUUUCAACGUGCCAAGUGAAUUCAUGGCAGAGUAUGAAGAGUGGCACAAGUCUCCCAUGCUCAAGUAUGUGAGAGAUUGUGAUGUGCAACCUCAGGCGCUAAGCACCAUGUUGGCCAUGCACAUGAAACUGUCACCCAUGGGAUUUAUUCACAUGACCAAGCUAAAGGUGCACCCCGGAGUUGCUCUAACAGUUGUGAGGACGGAUGAGUUGCUUACUGAAAAUAUUCUGUACAGCAACAGGGCAUCAACCUCUGUGUUUAUUGGAAGGCCAACUGUUAAGCGGCGAGAAAUCCGUGCAGAUGCUGUGGGAUUUGAUGUAAGCAAUGAAAUAGCCUCUUUAGAUACUGCCAUGGGGUACAGCUCAACUCUGAUUCCUGCUAGAGUUGCUGGAAUUACUACAGACAUGGGAAUCCACUGUCAGGACUUGUUUAAAAUGUAUCCUACAGAUAACUUCAAGAACAGGGAACUUACCAUCUUUAUCAAAAACAAAAUAGGAAGUGAGAGAGCACCCAACGCGAAUGUUGUGGACCCUCUCGCAUAUAUGGCUGACCCAAGACACGGAUCAGAGAUGUGUGGAUUGGCACAUGGUCAAUUGGCCACCUGUGAGGUGAUUCUAACACCUGUCACAUCAGACCUUACAUACUUUCAGUCCCCUAACAGCCCCAGAGGACGAACAGGAUGUGUGGUUUCAUGUGACACGUAUUCACCAGAAAAUGCAGCAAAGCUUUUGUAUGAUCACGGUCAGCCUGACCCAGCCUAUGAAUUCAGGACCACAAAUAACCCCUGGGCUUCCCAGAUUGGAUCACUGGGCGAUGCACUGUACAAUAAUCACAAUAGACAGCUUGUGACACCCGGUCUUUACAGUCCCUGUAGACAAUUUUUUAACAAGGACAUGUUGCUGAAAAACAAUAAAUCCCUGUUCACUCUGAUACAUGAAUAUAUUACCCGCCUUGGAGGUUCCCCCGCCACCAGCAACACAGAUGUUCAGUAUGUUGUAAUUAAUGGCACUGAUGUUUUCUUGGAGCAACCAUGUAUGCUGUUACAAGAAGCCUACCCAACAUUGUCUGCUAGUCACAAGGGUCUCCUGGACGAGUUCAUGUCAAACAAGAAGGGGCAUGCUCCUGUACAUAAUAUGCACUAUCUAGUAGAAGAAGUGGCUCCCCUGAAAAGAGUAUUAAAGAUUGGCAACAAGACUGCAUAAACUUUAUGGGGCUUGGAACCUGAAGUUUAUUAAUUAUCAUGGCAUCCAACAGGAACAUUGUCAUUACUCUAACAUCUAGAUUGUAUGCAGAUGAAAUUUCUGCUCUGCAGGAAAUGGUUGGCGCUGUCAUUUGUCUGCAGCACUAUCACCAGGUGCAAGAUGUUACAUCAAUUGGUCUGGGUCAUAUCAUCAGACCAGAGGGGCCAGUUGACUGGAUUGCUGCUUUUCACUAUCUGAGGAGGUGCACAUUUGGCAUUCUGCAUGAGAUAAAUCCAGAUUCAAUUUCUAUUAUUCGUGUUGACCCAGGGGAAAAUUAUCAAAUAAAGAAUACUUCCAAGCC